rnacentral:misc_RNA from 1 species
GAGACCGUUUGUAUGAGCCUGUUGACUGGUAUUAGGCAAAGAUGCUUCACAUAUGAUUUGGGAAAUCCUCCACCUAUAAGGUGCCUGUUUGAGGGGGAGUUAAGUCCUGCCCAUUUUAUCAAUAUGGUAUUAUAGCCAAUCCUUGUCUCGAUGGUGGGCUAUCCGCAGAUGUUCAGUUUUGCAAACUUCACGCUCCCGAUGUCCAAUCCUGAGGAUUGAGGGAGUGUGUUAUCCCACAUCGACUGGGUACAAGGCAAAUAUGCUUCAUAUAUGACUUG